ACUUCCGCCCACCCCUGGCUUUUACCACGGGCGGCCCCGUAUAUCUUUCUUUUCCACAUCAUGGCGGACCGGUUCAAUAAGGUUCUGCUCCUUGAUGGCAGGGGCCAUCUACUCGGUCGGCUUGCUGCCCUCGUGGCCAAGCAGGUUCUUCUGGGACACAAAGUUGUGGUGGUUAGAUGUGAAGGCAUCAACAUCUCUGGAAACUUCUACCGUAACAAA